GACGAACGCUGGCGGCGUGCUUAACACAUGCAAGUCGAACGGAAAGGCCCGGCUUUUGUGGGGUGCUCGAGUGGCGAACGGGGGAGAAACACGUGAGUAACCUGCCCUUGACUUUGGGAUAACGUCAGGAAACUGGGGCUAAUACCGGAUAGGAGCUCCUGCUGCAUGGUGGGGGUUGGAAAGUUUCGGCGGUUGGGGAUGGACUCGCGGCUUAUCAGCUGGUUGGUGGGGUAGUGGCUGACCAAGGCUUUGACGGGUAGCCGGCCUGGGAGGGUGACCGGCCACAUUGGGACUGAGCUACGGCCCAGACGCCUACGGGAGGCAGCAGGGGGGAAUAUUGCACAACGGGAGGAAGCCUGAGGCAGCAACGCCGCGUGCGGGAUGACGGCCUUCGGGUUGUAAACCGCUUUCGCCUGUGACGAAGCGUGAGUGACGGUAAUGGGUAAAGAAGCACCGGCUAACUACGUG
rnacentral:rRNA from 1 species